CGUUAAGUUGCAGGGUAUAGACCCGAAACCCGGUGAUCUAGCCAUGGGCAGGUUGAAGGGUGGGUAACACUAACUGGAGGACCGAACCGACUAAUGUUGAAAAAUUAGCGGAUGACCUGUGGCUGGGGGUGAAAGGCCAAUCAAACCGGGAGAUAGCUGGUUCUCCCCGAAAGCUAUUUAGGUAGCGCCUCGUGAAUUCAUCUCCGGGGGUAGAGCACUGUUUCGGCUAGGGGGCCAUCCCGGCUUACCAACCCGAUGCAAACUGCGAAUACCGGAGAAUGUUAUCACGGGAGACACACGGCGGGUGCUAACGUCCGUCGUGAAGAGGGAAACAACCCAGACCGCCAGCUAAGGUCCCAAAGUCAUGGUUAAGUGGGAAACGAUGUGGGAAGGCCCAGACAGCCAGGAUGUUGGCUUAGAAGCAGCCAUCAUUUAAAGAAAGCGUAAUAGCUCACUGGUCGAGUCGGCCUGCGCGGAAGAUGUAACGGGGCUAAACCAUGCACCGAAGCUGCGGCAGCGACACUGUGUGUUGUUGGGUAGGGGAGCGUUCUGUAAGCCUGUGAAGGUGUGUCGUGAGGCAUGCUGGAGGUAUCAGAAGUGCGAAUGCUGACAUAAGUAACGAUAAAGCGGGUGAAAAGCCCGCUCGCCGGAAGACCAAGGGUUCCUGUCCAACGUUAAUCGGGGCAGGGUGAGUCGACCCCUAAGGCGAGGCCGAAAGGCGUAGUCGAUGGGAAACGGGUUAAUAUUCCCGUACUUGGUGUUACUGCGAAGGGGGGACGGAGAAGGCUAUGUUGGCCGGGCGACGGUUGUCCCGGUUUAAGCGUGUAGGUGUGUGUUCCAGGUAAAUCCGGUUCACUUUAACACUGAGGCGUGACGACGAGGCACUACGGUGCUGAAGCAACAAAUGCCCUGCUUCCAGGAAAAGCCUCUAAGCAUCAGGUAACAUCAAAUCGUACCCCAAACCGACACAGGUGGUCAGGUAGAGAAUACCAAGGCGCUUGAGAGAACUCGGGUGAAGGAACUAGGCAAAAUGGUGCCGUAACUUCGGGAGAAGGCACGCUGACACGUAGGUGAAGUGAUUUACUCAUGGAGCUGAAGUCAGUCGAAGAUACCAGCUGGCUGCAACUGUUUAUUAAAAACACAGCACUGUGCAAACACGAAAGUGGACGUAUACGGUGUGACGCCUGCCCGGUGCCGGAAGGUUAAUUGAUGGGGUCAGCGCAAGCGAAGCUCCUGAUCGAAGCCCCGGUAAACGGCGGCCGUAACUAUAACGGUCCUAAGGUAGCGAAAUUCCUUGUCGGGUAAGUUCCGACCUGCACGAAUGGCGUAAUGAUGGCCAGGCUGUCUCCACCCGAGACUCAGUGAAAUUGAACUCGCUGUGAAGAUGCAGUGUACCCGCGGCAAGACGGAAAGACCCCGUGAACCUUUACUAUAGCUUGACACUGAACAUUGAGCCUUGAUGUGUAGGAUAGGUGGGAGGCUUUGAAGUGUGGACGCCAGUCUGCAUGGAGCCGACCUUGAAAUACCACCCUUUAAUGUUUGAUGUUCUAACGUGGACCCGUUACCCGGGUUGCGGACAGUGUCUGGUGGGUAGUUUGACUGGGGCGGUCUCCUCCUAAAGAGUAACGGAGGAGCACGAAGGUUGGCUAAUCCUGGUCGGACAUCAGGAGGUUAGUGCAAUGGCAUAAGCCAGCUUGACUGCGAGCGUGACGGCGCGAGCAGGUGCGAAAGCAGGUCAUAGUGAUCCGGUGGUUCUGAAUGGAAGGGCCAUCGCUCAACGGAUAAAAGGUACUCCGGGGAUAACAGGCUGAUACCGCCCAAGAGUUCAUAUCGACGGCGGUGUUUGGCACCUCGAUGUCGGCUCAUCACAUCCUGGGGCUGAAGUAGGUCCCAAGGGUAUGGCUGUUCGCCAUUUAAAGUGGUACGCGAGCUGGGUUUAGAACGUCGUGAGACAGUUCGGUCCCUAUCUGCCGUGGGCGCUGGAGAACUGAGGGGGGCUGCUCCUAGUACGAGAGGACCGGAGUGGACGCAUCACUGGUGUUCGGGUUGUCAUGCCAAUGGCACUGCCCGGUAGCUAAAUGCGGAAGAGAUAAGUGCUGAAAGCAUCUAAGCACGAAACUUGCCCCGA
rnacentral:rRNA from 1 species